UGAGAUACACGUUGCACACUGUGAAACAAAGGUACGGAGGUGAAGGAGAGAAGACAUCUCAGAGGCGCCUACUCACCACUGUCCUUGCCCCUGUAACUCCCUCUAUUCCAUGUUGAAACCAGAAACAUGAAGCUCCGUUGCUUUGCAUAGCAGAAAUAGAUUCACAUUACAUUUUUUUCUGAUUGGUUCCCUCCAGGAGAAGGAAAGUUUUUGAAAUAUUUCUCCCCAAUGAAUACCGCCCUCAGACACAAAUUUGUUUUCAUUCUUUUAGUCAUCUCCGGCCCCAAUAAAAGUCAGAAUUGUAACCUAUACUCCUUCAGGUUCAUCAGCCAAUAAAGGAUCCUGCCUUGUCCCUUAUAGCAAUUGGAAGAGAACCUCCUAUUUUGCAGUGCCAUUUGUAAUUCUAAUAGUAGCAGUGGCUUAGGUUUGCUGAUGAAUGAAUUUGAAUAAAUGCUUCUGACAC
ensembl:lncRNA novel transcript